GACGAACGCUGGCGGCGUGCCUAAUACAUGCAAGUAGAACGCUGAAGGAGGAGCUUGCUUCUCUGGAUGAGUUGCGAGCGGGUGAGUAACGCGUAGGUAACCUGCCUGGUAGCGGGGGAUAACUAUUGGAAACGAUAGCUAAUACCGCAUAAGAGUAGAUGUUGCAUGACAUUUGCUUAAAAGGUGCAAUUGCAUCACUACCAGAUGGACCUGCGUUGUAUUAGCUAGUUGGUGGGGUAACGGCUCACCAAGGCGACGAUACAUAGCCGACCUGAGAGGGUGAUCGGCCACACUGGGACUGAGACACGGCCCAGACUCCUACGGGAGGCAGCAGUAGGGAAUCUUCGGCAAUGGACGGAAGUCUGACCGAGCAACGCCGCGUGAGUGAAGAAGGUUUUCGGAUCGUAAAGCUCUGUUGUAAGAGAAGAACGAGUGUGAGAGUGGAAAGUUCACACUGUGACGGUAUCUGACCAGAAAGGGACGGCUAACUACGUG
rnacentral:rRNA from 1 species